UCGCCAUGAGGCGCCUAUGACAGAACGUAGGGCCGCGGGGUGAGCGUUCGUGAGGACGCGCGCAGGCUGCGCCCGAGUGGGGAAUAAAGACUUCCGUGUCCCUGUCCUCUGGUGUCGCCGCUGAGAGGCGACCGCCGUGCUGAAGCCACGGAAAACACCGGGACCCUGACGAGGGCGGGCGGGGAGGGAAGAAGUGCUUCUUCCCUCCUCUCCGGUUCCCUCACCGCGGGCGGCCUUGUACACCCUCAGUUCAGUGGGCUGUGCGUCAGGAUUGAGGCUUUCUUGGAUUUUGGCUGUCCACGUGUAAAUUUACCGCUUUUUUAAUCUGUUUUUUCCUGGAGUUUUUUUUUGCGGGGGGGGCGUUAAUACUGUCGCAGAGGAAAAGCUGCGAGGUCAUUGUAACUUUUGUUUCCCCCUUUCAUAGGAAAGCAAACGUUUAAAAAUAAAAUGUGAAACCAAUUUUGAACCCUGUCAGCAGCUUGAGGGUCUAAAAGAGUCACAGUGUGAACACCUUGAUUGGUGUGUAGCUUCUGCAACGCUGUGUGACCUUGGGCGAGUCAAUUAAGCUCUCGGGGCGUAUAUUUCACUUCCUCCUCAUAAAGAAGGAGGGAGAAUAUUGUAAUUAGUAGCAAGGGAAAGCUUGACACUGACCACCAAGGCUGCAAAUGUUGAUGGAAUGAAUUCCAGGUUUAGCAGGGAAUGUCUAUCCAGGUGAACUCCAUGAAACGAAUGAAGGCUCAUUAGGAGAAGGGGUGAGGAAUAAGCGACAUGAUGACUGAAAUGCUGGAAAAAUAAUAUUUUCAUCAUUGAAAACUUCUAGGGCUGACAAUGCAGCUCUGUUGGCAUAUUGCUUACCUAGCAUGCCUGAUGGAGCAUGUCUGUAAUUCCAGCACUCAGAAAACAGGCAGGGGCCUCUUUGUGAACAUGAGAUCAGCCUACUGUGGGGAGCUCCAGGCCAGCCAGAACUACAAACAAGACCUAGAGGACAUGUAACCAUAAAGAGACUCAACACUCAGGAGGCAGAGGCAGGCAGACCUCUGUGAGUCUGAGUCCAGCCUGGUCUACAAAGCAAGUACCCUGACAGCCAGAACUACAAAGAGAAACCUUGUCUGGAAGAAGAGGAGGGGCAGGGUCUCAGUUCAAUUCUGAGGAUCUACAUGGGACUAAUAGCCACUGGUGACCACAGCUCCAGGCAAUGUGAUGCCCUCUUCUGGUCUCCACUGGUACAGCAUGCACACGGGGCACAAAUAUACAUGUGGGUGAGACACCAAUAUAUUAAAUCAAAAUAAAUAUUUUUUACAAUUUUAA